UACGUAGGGUGCGAGCGUUAAUCGGAAUUACUGGGCGUAAAGCGUGCGCAGGCGGUUUUGUAAGCCAGAUGUGAAAUCCCCGGGCUUAACCUGGGAAUGGCAUUUGGGACUGCAAGGCUUGAGUGCGGCAGAGGAGACUGGAAUUCCUGGUGUAGCAGUGAAAUGCGUAGAUAUCAGGAGGAACACCGAUGGCGAAGGCAGGUCUCUGGGCUGACACUGACGCUCAUGCACGGAAA
rnacentral:rRNA from 1 species